ACAAAGCUGUCUAAUCCUGAUGUACAUCGUACCAAAGCACAUCCGCCCGAGAAUUACGAGCACAAACGCUUGAAACUCUAAGGACUUGGCGGUGCCCCAAACCCACCUAGAGGAGCCUGUUCUGUAAACGACACCCCACGCUACACCCUACCACUCCUCGCCAGAAACAGCCUACAUACCGCCGUCGCCAGCUCACCCUAAUUGAAGGACACACAGUGAGCACAAUAACCACCCCGUUAACACGACAGGUCAAGGUAUAGCCUACGGAGUGGAAGUAAUGGGCUACAUUUUCUAACAUAGAACACUUCAACGGAAGGAGACAUGAAAUUGUUUCCAGAAGGCGGAUUUAGCAGUAAAGCAGGAUAACAUAAGCCUACUUUAAGCCGGCCCUGAGGCACGUACACACCGCCCGUCACCUCUGG
rnacentral:rRNA from 1 species